rnacentral:rRNA from 1 species
GACGAACGCUGGCGGCGUGCUUAACACAUGCAAGUCGAACGGAAAGGCCCUGCUUUUGUGGGGUGCUCGAGUGGCGAACGGGUGAGUCACACGUGAGUAACCUGCCCUUGACUUUGGUAUACCUUCAGGAAACUGGGGCUAAUACCGGAUAGGCGCUCCUUCUGCAUGGUGGGGGUUGGAAAGUUUCGGCGGUGGGGGAUGGACUCGCGGCUUAUCAGCUUGUUGGUGGGGUAGUGGCUUACCAAGGCUUUGACGGGUAGCCGGCCUGAGAGGGUGACCGGCCACAUUGGGACUGAGAGACGGCACAGACUCCUGCGGGAGGCAGCAGGGGGGAAUAUUGCACAAUGGGCGGAAGCCUGAUGCAGCAAGGCCGGGUGCGGGAGGACGGCCUUCGGGUUGUAAACCGCUGUCGCCUGUGACGAAGCGUGAGUGACGGUAAGGGGGAAGGAAGCACCGGCUAACUACGU